rnacentral:rRNA from 1 species
AACGCUGGCGGCGUGCUUAACACAUGCAAGUCGAACGGAAAGGCCCUGCUUUUGUGGGGUGCUCGAGUGGCGAACGGGUGAGUAACACGUGAGUAACCUGCCCUUGACUUUGGGAUAACUUCAGGAAACUGGGGCUAAUACCGGAUAGGAGCUCCUGCUGCAUGGUGGGGGUUGGAAAGUUUCGGCGGUUGGGGAUGGACUCGCGGCUUAUCAGCUUGUUGGUGGGGUAGUGGCUUACCAAGGCUUUGACGGGUAGCCGGCCUGAGAGGGUGACCGGCCACAUUGGGACUGAGAUACCGCCCAGACUCCUACGGGAGGCAGCGGUGGGGAAUAUUGCACAAUGGGCGGAAGCCUGAUGCAGCAACGCCGCGUGCGGGAUGACGGCCUUCGGGUUGUAAACCGCUUUCGCCUGUGACGAAGCGUGAGUGACGGUAAUGGGUAAAGAAGCACCGGCUAACUACGUG